AACUUGAUUCCUGAAGUGAUGGUGGUGUGUGGGAAAGGGGACUGCUAAGAACGCCACAGUGGCAGAGGCAGAGUUAGGAAUGCAGGAAUCUGGGGACACGGCAGAAACUUUGGAUUUUUUACAACAAAUGUGCAGUUUCCAGAUGUGAAUGCCAUCCAUAUCCGAAUAAGGGCACAGGCCACUGGAGAGGUCACUCUGUACCAGGGGAUGGGAAGAAGCGAUGUCAAUGCAGUCCCUCAUGCUCUGUGUCCAGCCCUGAUGUACCGAAUUCAGACUGCUGUUAGGUAACAAGAAAACUAUGCUAAUAAUUUUCCACGUAAGUAAGCAAGCAUUUCACCACUGAUGCUGCAAUGGGCUUCUCUACUGCUGCCAAAUUGCACAGAAGGUAAAACAGCAAUCAAGUUUCAGGAACCCAAGAUAUCCCUUAUAUAUUGUGAAGGGCUAAGGAUGUAAGAGAAAAACUGCAAGGGGAAAAGUUGAUGGACUCUGUUAUUCCAUUUAACAUGCAAAAAAAGCCUCAUUUGUGGAUAACAACCUUGGUUGGGUACUUCUGUAGCCUCAAACAAUGCUGCUCCAAAAAACUCCGCAUGCCAUCUGCUCUACACUCCACCUGGGACCACAGAUCUUUCUACCAUACUCCACAACAAACUUCUGUGGGGAAGACCACAACACAAACUGUGCCAUAGGGAGACAUCACGGUAUCAAAGAGAGUUACUAGUAACCUGGAUAUAUUAGAUAAACAAUAUGUAGAAGAUUUAGGAGUGUGGCCCUACAUUACAGGAGAAGACAAGGUAGAUAGAUAGAUAGAUAGAUAGAUAGAUAGAUAGAUAGUUUUUGGCAUGUUGAUCCAAGGGAAAGUUCUUUCCAAACUCCAUGUUUGGUAAUUAGUAGAUCUUAGUCAGAUGCUGGGGGCAUUUGGCUUUUCCAGUGCCAAUACCACUGGGAGUAAUAGGGCAUGCCAGUAGAAGCAGAGACUUCCCACAGCCAAGUGAUGGGAAUGGGGAAAAUUCUGAAAUGGGAAAACAGAACUGUUAUGCACCUCUCUGACAUACAAGGAGAACUAAGGGCAAAUGCAGUAUUUUCCAUCAUUUCCUGCAGACGUUUGAAGCAUUUGAAACAGGAUCCACCUUAUUCUCUGCCUAUAGCUGUUUGGCAAAAUGGGACACUGUUGCAAGCACUACUGUAACACAACUCUGUAUCAUGGUACAGCUCUUAAAACAAGGCAUGUUUUUCCCUCAGGACCUUUGUCUGACAGACAGUCUCACUAUCAUAGGAACAGCCCACAUCUUUUCCUUAUCUCUCCUGAGUCAGCAUGGCCAGCCAGUAACUCAGCACUGACCCCACCUUCAGCUGGGACUGGGUGUUGUUUCAGUGGCACCAUCUGCCCAGCCACAGAACAGGCGCUGCAGCAAUGAACCCGUCAGCCUGGGGUGCUCCUGCCCUGAUCCCUUCCAUUUCCAGAUGCUCCUUCAUACCAGCCCCUCCACAGCCGUUCAUGGGGUUGUGCCGGGAACCACAGCACUGAAGGACAUCUCUGUAAAAAGAGCUCUCUGUGGGAAGGGAGGGAUGCACCCAUUUACAACUCAUUUCCAUUCAGUGGCCUAGCUCAUGGCUUGGCCAUGAGUGUCAGCAUGAGAGAGGGACCAGUCUGCAGAGGUGUGGGGAUGGUGAUCCCCAGACUGUAACAGGGCAGGGCCAUUUCUACCUGGUACAGGUAAAGAUGACCCAGAACUCUGUCACCAGAGUGCUUAUCCUGCUCUAUGAUGGUCUCUCUGCUCCUGUUUCUUCCAACUACAACAGGAAAAGGCGGAAGGAAAUUGCUAAUGUUCAUGUUGUCAGCAGGUGCAAAUUUGUAAGAAAGAGGCAAAGACUUGUCAAGGAUCUCUUACAUACUGUUAAUUACUUAUUUUUGAAUGACUAUAAAUAAAUAGCCUAAACUCCCACUACCAGGUUGAGAAUAAUCUUGCAUUUUCUUAUAGGAGGAAUGACUUUGCUCAUGGUUUUAUGUGGAGGGUUUCGAGGGUUUCAUUACACAUGGGCUGAGGUAGAAUGCAAGAAAAAUUAACUAAUCUAAUCUGGGUGUGAGAGUGGGAAGGGAACAGCAAGCUCUAAACAAAAAGGUGUAUCAUUUUGACAAAUACUGUGAUGCUGCAGAGAUUUAGUUAAACACUGCAAUUCUGCAUAAGGACAUUCUGACAUUGCCUUAUGUCUUGUUUUCUCUGGAUGUAUGCCACAGAAGACAGAUAUAAAAUAAACCUACACUUGCCAGUACUGGAGGUUGGAAUGAAAUAAGACACAACAUCAUCCUAACUUCAGUUCAAAACUGCAAAAUCUUUGAAAGAUACAUGCUUUAAUUCUCAUGUAUAUCAGGAAACUGUAUCUUCAUGUGGAAUCUGAUUAGUUCUUGAUACGGUUAAGACAUAGCUUGAUCUUUCAUGAAAUACUUCUGUGUAGUAUAUUUUAACCAGGUAUCUUAGUACAGCUAUUGCAUAAUCUACAUCUAUAGAAUAACCUAACUAAAAUAAAUCCACAAUCUUAUUUGUGCUAUAACCAUGUUUGGUGCAGUGUGUGUGAAGUGACUUACAGGUCUGUCAGCUGAAAAACUGAAAAAUAGACCUACAGUAUGGUAGAUUUUUUGGUCUGUAAUUCACAGGGAGAAUGAGCAAAACAAGGAAAGACAAAGUCCCAGCAUGCUAUUCCAUGGUCAAUUAACAUGCAAUAUUGUUU